GGGUAAGGUGGUGGGAUCAGGGAGAUGUUAGCCAAAGGAUAAAAAAUUUCAGUUAGACAGGAGAAAUAAGUUCAAGAGGUUUAUUAUACAACAUGAUGACUAUAGUUAAUAACAAUGUUUUAUAUUCUUGAAAAUUACUAAGAGAAUAGGUUUUAAGUGUUCUCAUAACAAAAAAGAAUAACUAUAUGAGGUAAUGCAUAUAUUGAUUAGCUUGAUUUAGCCACUGCACAAUGUAUACAUAUAUCAACAUAUAUUGUACACCAUGAACACAUACAGUUAUUGUUAUUUAAAAAUAAAAAAUAAAAAUUUACAAAAAUUGAACAAUAAAUUUAAAAACAAAGAGCGGGUGGCAAUAUUCUGCAAACAUGGGAGGUGAAAGUAAAUACCUGAGUAAAUGAAAGAAAAUGCUGCUAUCUAUUUUGCAUAAUUACAUCCCUUCCCUACAUAUUUUUAGAUCCAAAAAGAACCCUUCCCAAGAAAGUAUAGGCUUUGGGAAAGGUAGAUGCAGGCACACUCUGGUCUUCAGAUACCAAAGCAUUUGUUAAUGACUUUAUGUUAUUAAACAUGGCCUUCCCAUAGACAGCAGGCCAAGGAAUCGGGCAUUAGUGUUGAGUUUUGAAGAUCAUGAUUCUGGAAAAAUGACAUCCUUAGCUCAAUUCCCCUUUAGUGCAGCUCAGGUGUUCCUAAAUCCUCUAGAAGAGUCUUGUGCUGUUAGUAACUGGCUGAUUACACAAUCUUCAAACAAGUAAAUGCAUAGCUCCUAUUCUUAUUUUACCAGAUAGAUGCCAUGUCCUAAUCCUAGUACACUCCCUCUCCCAAUGCAUUUGCUGAUACAGUGAAUGCAUGCUCCAUUUUGUUGCUCCCAUUAUACCCUUCUUUUAUACACUUUCUGAUCUGGCAGCUACCCAAAGCUCUACUCUUAACAUCUGUUACAUUCUUUGCCACACAACCCUCCUCUAGCACCUCAGGAUAAAGAAGUUUUUCCCAUCUCAUGACAUAGAGUUCUUUUGCUCUAGAAUCAGUUAACUGUUCUCACUGCAUUUUCAUUGAAGAUGUGGAUGUCCUCUGUCACACCUCUUUUCCUUUCUUAUAUUUUCUAUGUUUUCAUAUUUCUAUAUUUUGGAGUAUGCAGCUCUUUAUGCCUAGACUUUAUCUCAUGCAGCUCCACUGUAAUAUGCCCCAAACUGAACUCUCUUCUCUUCAUUCCCUUGCCUCUUCCUCCACUCUGCCCCUAACACUCCCAGCCUCAGAUUUCUCAUCUGAGUGAUUAACAUCAUCAUGAAAUCUCUUCCUGAAAUAAAAGUUUAAAUAUCUUAGAUAUACCUAUAUUUCUCACCCUCCUAUAUUUCUCUAUCAUUUUCACUUUCAAAUCUACUUCCUAACUUUCUUUCCUGUCCUUCUUAGCCUUGUUCCCAUCAUGUCUCAGUGGACUAUGGUUAUAGCCUCCUAACAGGGUUCCAUCAAUUUUCUACACUGCCUCUAAAGUGGCUAUUCUGAGACAGGAUGCUCAGUGGAACUUUUCCUGUGGUCUCACAACUAGCGUCCUCAUCAUCAAUACUUUAGGAGGGGUCCUUCUCUCCUGCCUGAGCCCAGUUCUAUAAAACAGAAGAUAAAGGAAGAGUGGUGGGGACAAUCAUCAGACUGAUGACUUGCAGGUCAAGUGGGGAAUGAAGUAUAUUUCUCUUGCCUACAUCAAGAAAGGGUCAACCAAGAUAAUCUCUUUUAGAGACUGCAGAUGCUCCAAGAAGUGAACGCUGGAAUCCCAUUCCCUUAUUAAGAGGUUUGCUUGAGUUGCACACUUGAUGAACCUGAUGAGCUUUCCUGCAUGCAUUUUCCCCUCAACAGUCUCCACCCCUUCUCACUUCCAGCAGGAAAAAAGACAACUUGAUAGAAAAGGGUAACAUUCCCUCCUUUUAUCUUUGCAUGGAGACAUGGGAUUUCUUUGGGUCGAAUGGACACUACAGAAUGAAGCUGAGUUUAUGCUGUUUUGGAAGAUUUUGUCUUCCCUGCUCUCCACCCAAGAGAUAUGGCCAAUGUAUCCUAGCACCCAGUAACAAUAGGUUGUGACACCAUGAAGCAAGGAAAACUCUGUUGGAAAAAAAUAAGCUGGGACUUGGUCUCUCCAAAUCAGGCAACUGAUAUGAAUCCCUUCUCCCCAAGGGGUCAAGAGGUAGCAUUUGUAGAAGGCACUCACCACCAGCCACAUUGGUAAGAAAGGCAGAAACAACCACUGGAAAGAAGACUAGGAAGGAAGCUGCUGGAGUGAGAUACACGCAUCCCUUCUGUCUUGGUGAAGAAUUCCCAAUGACUCCUUAUUCCCUACACUGUAGCAUAAAAAUAUAUACUCUUUGCAUAACUGAUAAGGCAUUUGUAAUCAAGCACCUUUUCCCCUCAUGCUGUUUUUUACUUCUUAUUUUCAUUUUCGACACUUGCAAUUGUCCCAAUGUAUCAGACACCCCCACCGCUCUGUCUUCGCAAACAGUUUCUUCUACCAGGACAGCACUUCCCUACCUAACCUACAAAAAAUUCCUUCAAGUCUUUGUUUAGGCAAGAUAUCUCUGUAAAGCCUUUCCUAAUGUGUGCAUGCAGAAUGACUUAUUUCUUCUACCAUAUUCCUCUGGUACAUACAAUUCAAUUAUCUUACUGAGUCACUUCUCAAGACACUAGUGCAUCUGUCUUCACUCUAAGCCGUAAGUUCUUUGAAGCCAUCUACGGUGCUUUCCUUUGUAAUCCCACACUCAGAGGUGGAGGGAAAGGGCUGUUGAAGUACAAAAUCUAGAGCCUGGACCAAUAACAUAACCAGAUACCAUGUGAAACUUUGUUUUCAAGAGAUGCCUUAAGUCUGUGUUGAUGUAGACUUUGGGCUGAAGAGACAAAAUCUGAUUUUAUCCACCAAGGUUCUUUCUAUUUGAAAUAUCUUCUUCUCAACAUCUGAUACUGACUCCUCAAUUUCAGCCAGUUCUAAAAGGCCUGUACCUACCCUGACUCAAUGUACACCCUCCCUAUUCUACCACAGUGGACUCUCAGUUGUCUACAGGAAGCCACUUUCUCCACAUCUCUGACGAGCGCUGGUAUGUGGUAUUAGGACACAAUGUAAAAAAUGCAUUUAUUAUAUGCUAUUUUAGUUGCUUCUCUCUUAGUAUAAAUCCAAUCUUAUUUAGGUUACAAGAUUCUAGAAGGCAGGCCUUAUAUGCUCUGUAUUCCACAUAGUGGAAAUACUUCUAAUUCUGUAAAUGAUUUCUUAAAAGUCAUACUGAGCCAAACACUGUGGAAAGUGGUAGAUAUUAUGGCCUCUGCACUAAAGGACUUUACAGAGACUGGCCCUUCUCCGUCUUGGAAGAUUGUCCUUUUUGACCUUGAGGGAAGCUCCAGAGACGGCCUAUGGCAUGGUGAGGACAAAGAGGGCAGUCAAAGCAGCUGGCCAGGCCAUCAGGGAAUCCACCCUGCAAUCAACAAGGUGACACAAGUCCCAUUCAAAUUAUCCUCACAACCUUUUAGCUUUCUAGCCCUGGAGCUCUCUUCAUCUGUCAUACUUGGUUUUGACUACAUAGUAACUGCCACAAGAAUGGGAAAUAGUAAAAAGAGAUGGCCCUCAGAAUCAAAAGUGAUUGAAUUCAAAUUUAAUUCAGCCUAAAUAUAGCUAAUGAAAUUUAGUCACUAAUUUUGCAAGGUUGACCAGUCUCAUAUAGUCCUAAUAUAAAUACAGGAGAGUUGUUUGGAUCAGGGGAUUGUGUUGCCCUGAUCAUUUCCUUGGCUUUCUCCAUUCCCUCACUGGCUGCUUCCUCACUGCAGAUUUGCCCAACAUACAUGCAUAGACACCACACAGAGGAUACCCUUUCUUUCUCCCACUUGUCAACUAAACCCUCUCCCUUUCCUCUACCAUCACCAUCUCUCAAAAAUCAUGCUAAGUUGCAACAAUUGUUUUUAUUUUGUUCCCAUAAAUGAGAUAUUAACAGUUCAGGUCUCUAAGGUCUUUCAUUUCAAUCAAUAAUACAUAUUCCUGAAAUUCUAAAUAUAAGUGGCCUCUGACUUUACAUUUCUCAAGUCUUAGACAAGUAUGCAUGCAGUCUAUAAACAGACUACGUGUGUGUAUGUGUCAGAGAGACUACACGUGUGUAUGCAUAUUAUAUACAUGUAUGUAUUGAGAGACAAUGACACAUAUGAUCAAUCAAGAGUAGAAAUAGAUUUUCUUCUACUCCUUCACUCUCCCUCUACUUUUGUCUCUGGGACAAAAGCUUUGCCUCCAUCCCCGCUUGCUCACAUCCACCCCUCCCUUCUUUCACUCUGACUUCUAACCGUUUUUCUCCCCAUUAACGCCCCCCACCUUCAUUUUAAACCCAGUUUUAUCUGGAUCCUCUCAAGGAAUUGCACUGUGAUAGUCAGUGCAGAGACCCAGCCUCCAGGCUAAACUCUGGUGUGUCAUUUAGUUACUAAGGACAUUAAUCUUCCUCCUUAGUUCUCUCUUAAGGAUUAUUUAAAUUGGGCAGAUUGAGAAUCCAUCUAUUUCUUUAAAGCCCAGUCCAUGAAUAGCUGUUAACACAAUGCUAGAGUUUAAGGCAUUAAGCAUGUACCUGCAAGUACUUUGCAGUUCUUCAUUUCCUUCCCUCGGGGAGUGCUUUCCAGUAGACAGGGGGAGGGGAGGGAGCAGAGCCUAAGUAAGCUGAUUUAUCUGGAAAAGCACUCCUCUCCAUCUUUGCCAUUUUAAUAAAGCUUAGCUUGGGGAAAGAUUUGGAGGCCUUCAGGAGCAGGCCCGUUAAAACAAUUGAGGAGUGUGUGAAACACAGCUCAGGCUCUGCAUCCCAGUCUUCAAACUGACGUCACCUCAUAAAUCCACAGGCACAGCCUGGACCCAUCAGCGAGCUGCUUUUUCAGGAGAUUAAUUAUUUGUUCAGACAGGGGUCAGGUGGAGGGUCUUUGAAAGAUUCCUUCAGUGUUUUGCCCCACCCCCUCUCAUGGGGGUGAAAAAUGGAACUCUCUGUACAGCCAAGCUGUAGAAAGAACACUGCGUGCAGAGUCAGAAGGGACGUGUGCAGCGUUUGACCCACACUGCCCAAUUAAGACAGGAGGGGACUGAGGGGCCAGAGAAGUGAAGGGGCUGUGCACUGGCUCUCCUUACCUUGCUGUCCUAAGGUUAUAGGUUUCCAAUUGGUCCCCAGGGCAGACUUCAGUAAGGCUGAAAAUGCAAUAAAUUGAGAAAGGCAUGGCGUUAGGGGAAGCCAUCUGACAGAAGGACAUUUGGACAGUGUCUGCAAUCCAAGGGGGUCAUGGAGGCUCUGGGAGGCCUCACUGUCAGCCCUGGAGCAGAGGUUUCUUUCCAGGAAGUGCCGGGCUUUGCACAUCAACCACCUGGAUAUGUCUCUGGGGAAUCACUUAGACACACUCAAGAACAGCAAUCACUUAACAAAAAGCAGAAGAGAGGGAAAAAGGCUGAGGUGCAGCAGUUGUCAAAUGCAUGAGACUUUCCAGAAGGAAGAUUACAAAGGCUCUGUACUCUCAGGGCAAGAUAAUGGGAAGGGAGAUUUUCUGAGAAAGGGGCUAGGGAUUGAUUAAACUGGAGUUAGUCAGAAAGGUACUCAAAUUUUGUUCACCCAUUUGAGAAAAGUUUUAAACAGUGGUUUGUUAGUAAAUGGUUAAAAACUGUCGGCAGGAGGGGGCGGGUGGUGGGGCGGCUGUUCUACUUAUCAUCUGCUGAUUUCUGUGGUGUAAAUACUCCCUUUGACCCUGAUUUCAAGCACCAGUGUGAGGUCACUGAAUGUGGAGUUGGGAAGAGAUGGGAAAAAUAGGCUCUUCUGAGCUGGUGCAAGCUGGCUCCAGCUCACCCCUGGUUGUAAUAAAUAUGCUAACAGGGUUCCUAAAGAAUGUUCUCAAUUCUCGUGCCCUAAGAGGCUACAUGGUCCAGCUAAAGGUGCUGGAAGCCAGUCCUAGUGUCAAUUUCUUCCUGCCAUCCAAUCCCAGCUAUCAGUUGACAAUUUGUGCACUUUUCUCUCUAUAUUUCCAUAAAAACUUGAAAUAUUAAACAGUGCAAAAUAAAGAAGUCUUGUUAUCUCCUGCAAUUACAAAUGUAUAAAAUUUGACAUCCUCAAUUCUCAUCAUCAUUUCUCUAAUAGUUCUUGUCUUUGAUAAGGCACAGGAUUGGGUUGUGUUGUCAGUGAGCAAAAAGAGGAACUGCAGACUGCAACUGUUGAAACUGCAACUAGUGUGCGGUCCCCUAUUUGAAGACAUGGAAAGAGAAAGCCUAGCUCUCCUUUCAGUUACAGGGCCUGAUCUGUGCAGCCUGAUGGGAAUCAGAGAGUUCUGGAACGCAGCUCCUUUCAUAGCUCUUGGCUCCUCUGCACGCCCCAAAUAAACACAGGUUGUCAGUAGCGGUUUCAGAUGAAUCCCCCUGCAAAUGCUGGCAUAGCAGGCUGGGGCAGCCACGGGUCUUACCCUCCAGGGAGGGAGCCCAGAGCAGGACUGCCACGCAGAGAUGCAGUUGAAGAGGGGAAGGGGAGGGGGUCUAUGAAAGCCAAUGGCAGAGCCCUGUGGUUUGGCAGUUGGCCUGGGAGCCCUGGAGCCUUCUGGGAAAAAGCCAGGAGGGGAGGACAGAGUGAGGGAGAAGGGGUGGGGGAACUGCUUCUCAGGGUUGGGCUGGCUGCUGCGCCUGUCAGGGCCAGAAUUGUCGGCUCUCUUCUGGAGUGACUUACUACAUACAAAGAGGAGGAAAAUGAACUAAGGUGCACUGGGCAAGUCACAGCCAGGAUUUCCCUCCAAUCUCACAAUAGGGCUAUGAGGCAGAUUUUCAUCACCAUUUCUCAAAUGGGGAAACUGAGGCCCCACAGUGAAGUCCAACGAUACCAUGGAGCAUGUGCAGGAGCAGAGGAGAUAGCAACAAUAAAAGCGUUUACUGCCAUUUCUUGCUGUCCUAUUUGCAUAUAGUGUUCAUAAAAUCCCAUGAGCACAGGAUUCCGAUGAAUCUACAUUGCAUGGGAGCUCAGAGGGGACUCAAAGCAAGUACACGAAAGCAUUUCCAUUUUGCCUGGCUCUGGGAACAAAGCCAACAUCUGCUUUAGAGGAACAGAGAUUUCCACAUGGCAAAUGAGAAAAAGGACACAGACCCAGGAUUCAGAAAGGAAAUGAGGACAGAGACUAACACUGUCUAAAUACAUAAAGGCAGAAGACAUUUUCUCAGGUGUCAUCUCGUAGCUCUCACCACUUUCUCUAGGACAUUUAUUAAGCGCUUACUACUCACAAUUGGAUUAGGCACUGAGACUGUGAAGACAAAACAGACACAACUCCUGACCUCAAGGAGCAAAUAAUCGAAUGCAAACAAUGGGGUGUGGAGACCACAAGGAGACAUACUGGCUGUGGUCCUAUAUUUGAAGGCUGUCACAUGGACAGAGGGGUAAGUUUGUUUCACAGGCUCUGGAGGUGAAGAGCCACUCUGGUGGUGAAAGUCAGGGCAGUUUCAGCUGCUGGCAAGCUGCUGCGAAUUCCCAUGAGUGGGGCUGAGUCAGGGAUCCUGCAGAGGUGACUCCUGUCUUGGGACAUGCUGUGUUCUCAGUGGUUUUCAGGCUCUGCUCCAUGCUGAUUAGACAGGGGCUUUGAGGAGGCAUC